GCAUGGAUGGCUCAGAUGGUUAAGCCUCUGACUUCGGCUCAGGUCAUGAUCUUGCAGUUUGUGGGUUCAAGCCCCACGCCAGGCU
rnacentral:tRNA from 1 species